rnacentral:misc_RNA from 1 species
GAUGACAAGAAACCGAGAGGAGUACCUGGAAGAAGGGUCCUCUUGAGAGAUUAUAUAUAUGGGAAGAUGGACAGUCGCAGACGACGAAAAGGGCGUUGCGGGUGUAUCAGACCGAAAACGAGUGAUGACUGAAUCUCCUUUGUUUAGCAGCUUGUUAGUGGUAAGUCCUUGGAGCUUCCUUUUAUAGAAACUCCUUUGGGAUGUGAAGCUUCUAGCUUUUGUGCAUGUGAAAAUUUUCGAUAGCGAGCCAAUACAUAGCUGAUAG